GACGAACGCUGGCGGCGUGCUUAACACAUGCAAGUCGAACGGUGAUGCUCCAGCUUGCUGGAGUGGAUCAGUGGCGAACGGGUGAGUAACACGUGAGCAACCUGCCCCAGACUCUGGAAUAAGCGCUGGAAACGGCGUCUAAUACUGGAUACGAAACUGGCCCGCAUGGGCAUGGUUUGGAAAGUUUUUCGGUUUGGGAUGGGCUCGCGGCCUAUCAGCUUGUUGGUGAGGUAAUGGCUCACCAAGGCGACGACGGGUAGCCGGCCUGAGAGGGCGACCGGCCACACUGGGACUGAGACACGGCCCAGACUCCUACGGGAGGCAGCAGUGGGGAAUAUUGCACAAUGGGCGAAAGCCUGAUGGAGCGACGCCGCGUGAGGGAUGACGGCCUUCGGGUUGUAACCCUCUUUCGGCAGGGAAGAAGCGAAAGUGACGGUACCUGCAGAAGAAGCACCGGCUAACUACGUG
rnacentral:rRNA from 1 species